rnacentral:rRNA from 1 species
CAGAGCGAACGUUAGCGGCGGGCUUAACACAUGCAAGUCGAGCGAGAAAGGGGCUUCGGCCCUGAGUACAGCGGCGGACGGGUGAAUAACACGUAGGUAACCUUCCUUUCAGCGGGGGACAACGGUCCGAAAGGACCGCUAAUACCGCAUACGUUCCCUGGGACCUCGGUCCUGGGGAGGAAAGGCCCCGCAAGGGCCACUGGAUGAGGGGCCUGCGUAGCAUCAGCUAGUUGGUGGGGUAAUGGCCUACCAAGGCGAAGACGCUUAGCUGGUCUGAGAGGAUGAUCAGCCACACUGGGACUGAGACACGGCCCAGACUCCUACGGGAGGCAGCAGUGGGGAAUAUUGGACAAUGGGCGCAAGCCUGAUCCAGCCACGCCGCGUGAGUGAUGAAGGCCUUC